CACCCAAUCCAAUUUUUUUAAACUUUAACUUCAAAAAUCAAAUCUAAAGCUUAUUUAUACAAAAACUAGGUUAUAAUUAUUAUUUAUAAAAUAUUAUAACUAUUUUUAUUUUAAAAACAUAUAAAAUUAUAUAUCGAUCCCUCAGCCCACACCUACCGAAACCCUAAAGAUCUCACCCAAUUCAACAUUCCACUCAAUCACAACCCUUUCUCACUCACUCUCACACACUGCACAAUCUAGCAAUCCGGUGAAGUCGAUGUGCCGAUUGCCCCGCGCAGCAGUGAUGGUAUCACCAGUGGUACUCAACUUCUCCAAAGCAACGAUCGAAUUCUCCAGGUGCCACUAUGCACAAUAUGGCAACGAAGUCGAUGGAUCGAUCAUCACACGCAACGACAAGCAAUUCCUCUAGUUGAUUUUCCUAUAGUUGAAGUUGGAGGUUGAUUUGUGGUAUAUUGAAAGUAUAGAUGACGGUAGUGGGUUUGGAAGUUUUGUUGAUUAGGGUAGGAGUGGUGGUAGUGGUGUAGUAGAGGUGGAAGAGAUAAUGGAUUUUAGCAUGCAUUUGUGGUGAUUACUGAUGCAUGUGGUGGUGUCUGUUAAUUAAUAAGUGUGUUUUACUUACGAGUUUUACAUAAUUUUAAGUUGAUUAUUUGUUAGAUCUUAUAAGUAUAGAACUUUUUUUGUGUUUGCUAGUAUUGUUUUGAAGAUUAGGAGAAG
rnacentral:lncRNA from 1 species